AAUUAAUAUUUAAUUAUGAUUUGAAUUCAUAUUUAAGAAAUUUAUUUCUAUUAAUUU
rnacentral:tRNA from 1 species